AAGCUAGGAAAAUACAAAAUUGUCGUUAUCACGAACAUUACGAGACAGUUCUAAGUCAGAAAAACAUUUGGGCUUGAAGAUAAUUAUUCGCGGCUAGAGCCGGGAACCAUAGCCGGGAACGCACAGGGCAGGCGACGCCACUGGUCAGCGGAGUGAGCUCUGAUUUGCUUGUGCUACACCGACGCCAUCUUGGUCGCCGCUCCGAGUCCGAGUUCGCUCACCAGAAUUAACCGUAUGUUGGCCUUUUCUCUCCGCCCUUCUGCUGCAUGAGAUUGCCUGGACUGUAAUCCCAGAUUACUGGGUCGUCUACUACUUGAGGAAUCAGACAGAUCAGUCCAACUUUUUCAGGUUGUUAAAACUUUGUUUUUGUUUUAUUUAUUUAUUUAUUAAAUAUAUGAGAACAUAAAAAAGCCUCAACACUUUCCACUUAUUAAAAUAAUUUUGAAGUCAUUUUAAUUGUGUGUGCAUUUCAUGUUAACACCCAUAAUCCUUCACUGUUAUAGUCCAAAAACAGCACAGCCAGAUCUUUGACUUGGAUUACGUGGCUAUAAAUAUGGGUGAAAAUACGGAGUGAGACCGGGGUUUAGCUCGUCUCGUUUGUGUUAAUUACUCUCUGAUUAACUAACCAAAAUGAUGUUGAAGAUGAAACUUUGAAUUUUACAUGUUUUUCAAACCAACAAAGACUACCACAACUUAAAGCCACAAAGUUACGCAAAAAAAGACUUACUUUGAUUAUGUUUUGAUCUACUGUUAAAUCUUUCCCAGUGGUCUUCAAAUUAUAAUUAUGCUGUUUCUAGCCAAAAUAAAAAAAACCUGCAUCAUUUUAUUAGACCUAGUUUCUGCAGCGCGGCAGGACAUCAUUAGAAAUUCACCUUGCGACUGUUGGCACAGCCUGCCCCAAUUCCCGUCACCCAUCUGUUUACACCCUCUCUCACAGCCCCUCACACCCCCAACCCCAAAAUAAUGAUCAAUAUCAAAGCUAUCCUGCCGUGUAGUUCCAGAUUCCAGCUCAGACGAGGAAGUGGAAGUCCUACAUGGAUCUAUUUGUCUGUGAGUGGAUGAUCAGAAUGGGGCGGAGCAGGGAGCUUGUGGCCCCACCCAGUGUAUAUUCUAUAUGUCAAAUAUGUUUUUUUUCCAAUGAAAUAUUUUUGUCUGCUUGUAAUUCACUAUGAUUUGAAUUAAAAAAUCCUCAGAAA